rnacentral:lncRNA from 1 species
GGGAGGCUGAGGCAUGGGAAUCUCUUGAACCCGGGAGGCGGAGCUUGCAGUGAGCCGAGAUCAAGCCACCGCACUCCAGCCUGGGCAACAGAGCGAGACUCCGUCUCACAAAAUAAAUAAAAGCCCCGUCUCCAAAUAUGUCACAUUGUGAGGUACCCGGGGUCAAGACUUCAACAUAAGUUGGCGGGGGGCGGGGUGCAGGGCAUAACCCUGCCCAUGACAGCCCUGGUUCAUUUCUGAACUGGUUGAAGGCUGCCUCCCUCUGCCCUUGACGCCGCACCACCUUCCUGCCUGGAUCCUCUGCUCCCAUGUACUGUCCACAUGCUGCUCGAGGGCUCCUUCUUAUGCGCCACCUAUCCUGCUUCUCAGCCCUCAGUGAAGCCCAGUUCCUUCACAGGACGCAGGAAUCCCUCUUGAACCUGGCCCUACCUUUCUCGCCUGCCUGUGUUCCUUCCAUACUUCUUGUCUUGCGCUUGUCCCAGUGGGCGCUGAACUGCUGUGACCUGGCUGUGCUGUUUCCUGACUCGAUACUUCUGCUUCUAUUUAUGCCCUCACCCUGAGUUUUUUGCCUUUGCCUGCCUACCCCUUCUUCAUUCUUCAAAAUUGACAGUGAGAGGGAGACUUCUGUGGUUCCUUGAAUUCCAUCCCAGUUCUGGCUUCUGGCCCAGAGAGACUUGCAUGCAUGCACAGAACUCAGCACAGGCAGACGGCAUGCGGACAGAUCACAGCACAGCGGCCCUUUGUGAGGAACAAUGACAAUGACUUCCACCUCUUCCGGGGAGAAGCCCAGAUGAGGAGGUCAGUUGCUGUGGCCUGUCAGCCCUAGAGGUGAUGUCACCGUCUCCCGAGGACAAAACCUUCAUUUAGCUGCAAGAGGGAACAGUUGAGUAGUAAAGUGAUUAUUGUUGUGGGUCAUCCUUUGGCUCAGAUUUUGUAAACAGAUUCAUCUUGAAUGACUGCAUGCAUAGGGAUUACAGGAACGACUGCAUUGUCUGAAAUGACAAGCCUGGAAAUUUCCACUGUAGGGGGAUGUCAUGGGAUUCACUACUGGUAUAGCCAUUAAAACUUACAAAG